rnacentral:tRNA from 1 species
CCUCCAGACGGGGUGCGGUGGUGGGCCCUGGCGGCUGCUCGCCGCCGGGGCCGCCGGUGUCCGGUCUCACUGCCGGAGGUCC